GACGAACGCUGGCGGCGUGCUUAACACAUGCAAGUCGUACGGUAAGGCCCUUUCGGGGGUACACGAGUGGCGAACGGGUGAGUAACACGUGAGUAACCUGCCCACAACUUUGGGAUAACGCUAGGAAACUGGUGCUAAUACUGGAUAUGUGCUCCUGCUGCAUGGUGGGGGUUGGAAAGCUCCGGCGGUUGUGGAUGGACUCGCGGCCUAUUAGCUUGUUGGUGGGGUAGUGGCCUACCAAGGCGGCGACGGGUAGCCGGCCUGAGAGGGUGACCGGCCACAUUGGGACUGAGAUACGGCGCAGACUCCUACGGGAGGCAGCAGUGGGGAGUAUUGCACAAUGGGCGCAAGCCUGAUGCAGCGACGCCGCGUGCGGGAUGACGGCCUUCGGGUUGUAAACCGCUUUCAGCAGGGACGAAGCUUUUUGUGACGGUACCUGCAGAAGAAGCACCGGCUAACUACGUG
rnacentral:rRNA from 1 species